GCGGCGGCGGCGCCGAGCGUGUGAGCAGCAGCCCGGGAGCCGCCGGCCCGGGUCCAGCACGACCCCGACCCCGCCCGCCCGCCAGCCAUGGGCAACGAGGCCAGCCUGGAGGGCGGCGCUGGCGACGGGCCCCUGCCGCCCGGAGGCACCGGCCCUGGCCCGGGCCCCGGCGCAGGAAAGCCGCCUUCAGCACCUGCCGCCGGCGGACAGCUCCCCGCUGCAGGCGCGGCGAGGGCAACUGCGGGACCACCGGGCCCAGGUCCCGGCCCCGGUCCGGGCCCUGGCCCCGGCCCCGGCCCCGGUCCUGGCAGCGUUUCCAGGAGACUGGACCCCAAGGAGCCCCCGGGUAGCCAGAGAGCAGCUUCCCCAACCCCGAAGCAGGCUUCUGCUACUGCUCCCGGUCGCGAGAGCCCCCGGGAGACAAGGGCGCAGGGCCCAGCAGGCCAGGAGGCUGAUGGCCCCCGCAGGACGCUGCAGGUAGACAGCAGGACGCAGAGAUCAGGGCGGUCCCCCUCUGUGUCACCGGACAGAGGCAGCACCCCCACAUCACCCUACUCCGUCCCCCAGAUCGCCCCCCUUCCCAGCAGCACGCUGUGUCCCAUAUGUAAGACCUCGGACCUCACGUCGACCCCCAGCCAGCCAAACUUCAACACCUGCACCCAGUGUCACAACAAGGUCUGCAACCAGUGUGGGUUCAACCCCAACCCUCACCUCACCCAGGUGAAGGAGUGGCUGUGUCUGAACUGCCAGAUGCAGAGGGCUCUGGGGAUGGACAUGACCACCGCGCCUCGCUCCAAGAGCCAGCAGCAGCUGCACUCCCCAGCCCUGUCUCCUGCCCAGUCCCCAGCCAAACAGCCCCUGGGGAAGCCGGAGCCAGAGAGAUUGCAGGGCCCAGGGGCACCCCAGCCUGGCCCCCGCCAGGCUGAGACAGCCAGGGCCACCACAGUGCCGGGGCCUGCCCAAGCCCCUGCCCCUCCGGAGAUGGGGAAGCCAUCUCCUCAGCCCCCUCUCCCCAUCAAGCCUUCCACAGCGGAGCCCAGGCCACCUGCAGGAGAGGCCCUGGCCAAAAGUGCCACCACAGUGCCCUUGGGGCCUGGUGCUGCUGAGCAGACCCAGGAGGGCCUCACUGGGAAGCUCUUUGGCCUUGGUGCAUCCCUGCUGACCCAGGCGAGUACCCUCAUGUCUGUGCAGCCUGAGGCUGAGCCCCAGGGCCAGGCUGCUCCCAGCAAAGGGCCACCUAAGAUUGUCUUCAGUGAUGCCAGCAAGGAGGCUGGCCCGAGACCCCCAGGCUCAGGGCCUGGGCCUGGGCCGGCACCUGGAGCCAAAACAGAGCCUGGAGCUAGAACAGGUCCUGGCGUGGGACCUGGAGCCCUGGCAAGAACUGGGGGAACCACCAGUCCAAAGCAUGGCAGAGCGGAACACCAGGCUGCCACCAAGGCCACUGCCAAGCCAAAGACCAUGCCGAAGGAAAGGGCCACCUGCCCACUGUGCCAAGCUGAGCUCAACGUGGGCAGCAAGGGCCCCGCCAACUACAACACCUGUACCACAUGCAAGCUCCAGGUGUGCAACCUGUGUGGCUUCAACCCAACGCCCCACCUGGUAGAGAAAACCGAGUGGCUCUGCCUGAACUGCCAAACUAAGCGGCUGCUAGAGGGCAGCCUGGGAGAGCCGACCCCCCUGCCGCUGCCCACCUCUCAACAGCCCCCCGCAGGGGCCCCUCUCCGGGCGCCUGGAGCAGCCCCUCCGAAGCAGAAAGGGCCACAGGGGCCGGGCCAGCCAUCAGGCCCCCCGCCUGCCAAGGCCAGUCCCCUGCCCACCAAGGCCAGCCCCCAGGCCAAGCCCCUCAGGGCUUCUGAACCCAGCAGGACCCUGAGCGGUGCCCAGGAAAAGAAGACAGGAACCCCAGCUAAAGCCGAGCCUGGGCCAAAACCACCUCCAGAGACUACCCUGGCCCCUGGGACUCCCAAAGGAAAGACAGGGCCCCGGAGGACUGAACCUGCCACCCCUGUCGUCAAGGCCGUUCCAGAAGCCCCCACGGGUGGGGAGUCGGAGGAGCUGGUGGGCAAGCCGUACUCUCAGGACCCGUCCCGGAGCCCACAGAGCCUCAGCGACACAGGCUACUCCUCCGACGGCGUCUCCAGCUCCCAGAGCGAGAUCACAGGCAUUGUACGGCAGGAGGUGGAGCAGCUGGACAGCGCGGGGGUGACAGGGCCUCGCCCGCCCAGCCCUUCUGAGCUCCACAAGGUGGGGAGCAGCAUGCGACCUUCGCUGGAGGCCCAGGGCCCGGCCCCCAGGGGCGAGCCGAGCAAGCCGCCCAGGAGCAGUAGGGACGAGCGGAAGCGGAGGCCCCACUCCUUGUCCAUCAUGCCUGAGGCCUAUGACUCCGACGAGGAGCUGGGGGACAUCCUGGAGGGAGAGGAAGACUCCCUGGAGUGGGGGCACCAGAGGGAGCAGCAGGACACAGCCGAGUCCUCAGAUGACUUCGGCAGCCAGCUGAGACACGACUACGUGGAGGACAGCAGCGAGGGUGGCCUGUCCCCGCUCCCACCCCAGCCCCCAGCCCGGGCCACGGAACUGACUGACGAGGAGUUCAUGCGACGGCAGCUGCUGGAGAUGAGCGCCGAGGAAGACAACCUGGAAGAGGAGGACGCCGCCGCCUCCAGCCACGGCCUGGCCAAACCCGGCGCCCAGAAGGGCGGCCCCCGGCCCCGGCCAGAACCCAGCCACGACGCAGCGGCUCCGCCUAAGAGACGUCUGCCGCACAACGCCACCACGGGCUACGAGGAGCUGCUCCCUGAGGGAGGCCCAGCCGAGGCCGGCGACGGCACCGGGGCCCUGCAGGGGGGGCUGCGCCGCUUUAAGACCAUUGAGCUCAAUAGCACGGGCAGCUAUGGCCACGAGCUGGACCUGGGCCAAGGCCCUGACCCCAGCCUGGAGCGGGAGCCCGAGCUGGAGAUGGAGAGCCUGACGGGUUCGCCCGAGGACCGCUCCCGUGGGGAGCACUCCUCCACGCUGCCGGCCUCCACGCCCAGCUACACUUCCGGCACGUCUCCCACCUCCCUGUCCUCACUGGAGGAGGACAGCGACAGCAGCCCCAGCCGCCGGCAGCGGUUGGAAGAAGCAAAGCAGCAGCGCAAGGCACGGCACCGCUCCCACGGGCCCCUACUGCCCACCAUCGAGGACUCCUCGGAGGAGGAGGAGCUGCGGGAGGAGGAGGAGCUGCUGCGGGAGCAGGAGAAGAUGCGGGAGGUAGAGCAGCAGCGCAUCCGCAGCACUGCCCGCAAGACGCGGCGAGACAAGGAAGAGCUGCGGGCCCAGCGGCGGCGUGAGCGCUCCAAGACUCCCCCGAGCAACCUGUCACCCAUCGAGGAUGCCUCCCCAACGGAGGAGCUGAGGCAGGCGGCCGAGAUGGAGGAGCUCCAUCGCUCCUCCUGCUCCGAGUACUCGCCCUCCCCUUCCCUCGACUCAGAGGCUGAAGCCCCGGACGGUGGCCCCAGCCGGCUCUACAAGUCAGGCAGUGAGUACAACCUGCCCACCUUCAUGUCCCUCUACUCGCCAACUGAGACGCCCUCGGGCAGCACGGCCACUCCCGGUGUGGGCCGGCCCCUCAAGAGCGCGGAAGAGGCCUAUGAGGAGAUGAUGCGCAAGGCCGAGCUGCUCCAGCGGCAGCAGGGGCAGGUGGCAGGCGGCCCCUCCCAGACCCCUGGCCCCCAGGGCCAGGGCGCCUUUGAGUACCAGGACACCCCCGACCAAGACUAUGGCCGGGCUGCGCAGCCUGCCUCCGAGGGCACACCGGCCAGCCUGGGGGCCGCUGUGUACGAGGAGAUCCUUCAGACGUCACAGAGCAUUACCCGCAUGCGGCAGGCCUCCUCCCGGGACCUGGCCUUUGCCGAGGACAAGAAGAAGGAGAAGCAGUUUCUGAAUGCCGACAGUGCGUACAUGGACCCAAUGAAGCAGAAUGGCGGCCCACUCACCCCUGGCACCAGUCCCACCCAGCUCGCUGCCCCCGUGUCCUUCUCCACCUCCACCUCCUCAGACGGUAGUGGUGGCCGAGUCAUUCCUGAUGUCCGCGUUACUCAGCAUUUUGCAAAGGAGCCUCAGGACCCUCUCAAGCUUCACAGCUCCCCUGCAUCCCCCAGCUCUGCCUCCAAGGAGGUAGGCGUAUCCUUCUCCCAGGGCCCUGGCACCCCAGGCACCACAGCCGUGGCUCCUUGUCCCGCCGGCCUGUCACGAGGUUAUAUGACUCCCACUUCCCCAGCAGGCUCUGAGCGCAGCCCUUCACCAUCUUCUGUAGGCCAUAGCUAUGGACAGAGCCCAACCACUGCAAACUAUGGGUCCCAAACUGAGGAGCUACCCAUGGCCCUCAGCGGCCCCACUGCCAGUGGACGGGCUGCCAGAGAGAAGCCCCUGAGUGUGAGUGACGGGGAGAGCGGCCCCCACAAGGCCUCCCGGGGCUAUGCCUACUUUGUGGGCUCCAGCCCACCUCUCUCUCCAUCUUCUCCCUCAGAGAGUCCCACGUUCUCCCCUGGCAAGCUGGGCCCAAGGGCCACAGCCGAGUUCUCUACACAGACGCCAAGCUCGACCCCGGCCUCGGACAUGCCUCGGAGCCCUGGUGCCCCGACCCCAGCACCCAUGGUGGCUCAGGGCACACAAACACCACACCGACCCAGCACACCUCGCCUGGUGUGGCAGCAGUCCUCUCGGGAGGCCCCCUUUAUGGUCAUCACUCUAGCAUCAGACGCCUCCGGCCAGACCAGGAUGGUACAUGCCAGUGCCUCCACCUCCCCAGUGUGUUCGCCCACCACCCACAGCUACAGCCAGACGACACCUCCAAGUGCGUCCCAACUGCCCCUAGAGCCACCCGGGCCACCUGGCUUCCCACGGGCACCCAGCGCUGGUGCGGACGGGCCCUUGGCAGUAUAUGGCUGGGGCGCCCUCCCUGCUGAGAACAUCUCCCUUUGCCGGAUCUCCUCUGUCCCUGGAACGUCUAGGGUGGAGCCAGGCCCCAGGCCUCCGGGCAGUGCCGUGGUAGACCUUCGCACAGCUGUCAAACCCACACCCAUCAUCCUUACUGACCAGGGCAUGGACCUGACCUCUCUUGCCGUGGAAGCAAGGAAGUAUGGCCUUGCCCUGGAUCCAAUCCCAGGACGGCAGUCGACUGCUGUGCAGCCUUUGGUCAUCAACCUCAAUGCCCAGGAGCAGACCCAUGCCUUCCUCAGCACCUCCACCACCGUGAGCAUCACCAUGGCCUCAUCUGUGCUCAUGGCUCAGCAAAAGCAGCCUGUGGUCUAUGGAGACCCCUUCCAGAGCCGGCUUGACUUUGGCCAGGGUUCGGGUAGCCCCGUGUGUCUGGCCCAGGUCAAGCAGGUAGAGCAGGCUGUCCAGACAGCCCCGUACCGAGGUGGGCCCCGUGGAAGACCUAGGGAGCCCAAGUUUGCCAGGUAUAACCUUCCCAACCAGGUAGCACCUCUAGCCAGAAGGGACGUUUUAAUCACUCAGAUGGGCACUGCCCAGAGUGUUGGCCUCAAAUCAGGUCCAGUGCCAGAGCCGGGCGCUGAACCCCACCGGGCUGCCCCCGCAGACCUGCGGUCACAUGCUAUGCCCGGUGCCAGGAAGCCACACACAGUGAUGGUGCAGAUGGGAGAGGGCACGGCAGGCACUGUGACCACACUGCUCCCGGAGGAGCCCACAGGUGCCCUGGACCUCACCGGGAUGAGGCCUGAGAGCCAGAUGGCAUGCUGUGACAUGGUCUACAAGUUCCCCUUUGGCAGUAGCUGCACGGGCACCUUCCAACCCACCCCCAGCGCACCUGAAAAGAGUGUGGUGGACAUUGCCCCACCCGGCCAGAGCGGCGGCCCCUUCUACAGUCCCCGGGACCCUGAGCCUCCCGAGCCCCCCACCUACCGGGCACAGGGGGUAGCGGGGCCUGGGCCCCAUGAGGAGCAGAGGCCCUACCCACAGGGCCUCCAUGGCAGACUAUACUCCUCCAUGUCUGACACCAAUUUGGCUGAGGCUGGCCUCAACUACCAUGCACACAGGAUUGGGCAGCUCUUCCAGGGCCCUGGACGAGACUCCGCUGUGGAUCUCAGCUCGCUGAAGCACUCCUACAGCCUGGGCUUUGUGGAUGGACGCUACCUUGGGCAGGGCUUGCAGUAUGGCUCAUACACAGACCUGCGUCAUCCCACGGACGUUUUGACUCACCCACUUCCCAUGCGGCGCUACAGUUCGGUGUCAAACAUCUACUCAGACCAUAGGUAUGGCCCGCGGGGAGAUGCCGCUGGCUUCCAGGAGGCCAGCCUGGCCCAGUACAGUGCCACCACCGCCCGCGAGAUCAGCCGCAUGUGUGCUGCCCUCAACUCCAUGGACCAGUAUGGAGGGCGGCAUGGCAGCGGUGGUGGUGGCCCCGACCUCAUGCAGUAUCAGCCUCAGCCCGGGCCUGGGCUCAGUGCCCCCCAGGGUCUGGCUCCCCUCAGACCCGGCCUCCUUGGCAACCCCACCUUCCCAGAGGGCCACCCAGGUCCUGGGAACCUGGCCCAGUACCGGCCUCCGGUAGGCCAGGGAACAGCAAUCAGACAGCUGCUGCCAUCCACAGCCACUGUGCGCGCAGCCGACGGCAUGAUCUACUCAACUAUCAACACUCCAAUUGCUGCCACACUGCCCAUAACCACUCAGCCCGCCUCGGUACUGCGGCCCAUGGUGCGCCGCGGCAUGUACAGGCCUUACGUGUCCGGCGGAGUCACAGCCGUGCCGCUCACCAGCCUGACGCGCGUGCCUGUGAUUGCCCCCCGGAUACCUCUUGGGCCCAUAGGGCUGUACCGAUAUCCUGCACCAAGCAGAUUCCCCACUGCUUCCAGCGUUCCACCUGCUGAGGGUCCUGUCUACCUGGGGAAAUCCGCUGCUGCCAAGGCCCCAGGGGCUGGGGGCCCACCAAGGCCAGAGCUGCCUGCGGGGGCAGCUCGGGAAGAGCCUCUCUCCACAGCCACCCCUGCCGCCGCCAAGGAGGCCCUAGCAGCCCCAGCCCCAGCCCCGCUGGCUGGCCAGAAGCCCCCCGUAGACGCUGCUCCCGGGGGUGGCAUUGGGGCCCUUGGCCGUCCCGGGCUGGAGAAGGAGGACGCUGCGCAGGAGGAGCGGCAGCGGAAGCAGCAGGAGCAGCUGCUGCAGCUGGAGCGGGAGCGGGUGGAGUUGGAGAAGCUGCGGCAGCUCCGGCUGCAGGAGGAGCUGGAGCGGGAGCGCGUGGAGCUGCAGCGGCACCGCGAGGAAGAGCAGCUGCUGGUGCAGCGGGAGCUGCAGGAGCUGCAGACCAUCAAGCACCACGUGCUGCAGCAGCAGCAGGAGGAACGGCAGGCUCAGUUCGCCCUGCAGCGCGAGCAGCUAGCACAGCAGCGUCUGCAGCUGGAGCAGAUCCAGCAGCUGCAGCAGCAGCUGCAGCAGCAGCUGGAGGAACAGAAGCAGCGGCAGAAGGGCCCCUUCCCUGUGGCCUGCGAGGCACCUGGCCGGGGGCCUCCCCCUGCUGCCCCGGAGCUGGCACAGAAUGGCCAGUACUGGCCCCCUCUGAGCCACACGGCCUUCAUCGCUGUGGCAGGGCCAGAGGGGCCUGGGCAGCCUAGGGAGCCCGGGCUGCAUCGGGGCCUCCCCAGCUCGGCCUCGGACAUGUCGCUGCAGACUGAGGAGCCGUGGGAGGCGGGCCGCAGCGGCAUCAAGAAGCGGCACUCUAUGCCUCGCCUGCGGGAUGCCUGCGAGCCGGAGUCGGGCCCCGAGCCCUGCACGGUCCGGAGGAUCGCAGACAGCAGCGUGCAGACAGAUGACGAGGAAGGUGAGGGCCGCUACCUCCUGACCCGGCGGCGCCGGGCGCGGCGGAGUGCCGACUGCAGCGUGCAGACUGACGACGAGGACAGCGCUGAGUGGGAGCAGCCCGUGCGCCGCCGCCGGUCCCGUCUGUCCCGCCACUCGGACUCCGGCUCCGACAGCAAGCACGAGGCUGCUGCCUCAUCAUCCUCUGCGGCUGCCACCACGAAGGCCAUGAGCAGCGUGGGCAUCCAGACCAUCACUGACUGCUCCGUGCAGACGGAGCCUGACCAGCUGCCCAGGGUCUCUCCGGCCAUCCACAUCACAGCCGCGACCGACCCCAAGGUGGAGAUUGUCCGGUACAUCUCGGCGCCAGAGAAGACUGGGCGCGGGGAGAGCCUGGCCUGCCAGACGGAGCCCGAGGGGCAGGCCCAGGGUGUGGCUGGGCCACAGCUGGUAGGGCCGACCGCCAUCAGCCCUUACCUGCCCGGCAUCCAGAUCGUCACCCCUGGGCCCCUGGGCAGAUUCGAAAAAAAGAAGCCGGAUCCCCUGGAGAUUGGCUACCAGGCCCAGCUGCCCCCGGAGUCCCUGUCCCAGCUUGUGAGCCGCCAGCCUCCCAAGUCCCCCCAGGUCCUCUACUCACCGGUCUCACCCCUGUCCCCACACCGGCUCCUGGACACCUCCUUUGCUUCUAGUGAGAGGCUGAACAAGGCUCACGUGAGUCCCCAGAAGCACUUCACGGCUGACAGUGCUCUCCGCCAGCAGACGCUGCCUCGCCCCAUGAAGACCCUGCAACGGUCCUUGUCUGACCCUAAGCCCCUCAGCCCCACCGCCGAGGAGUCUGCCAAAGAGAGGUUCUCCCUCUACCAGCACCAGGGGGGACUGGGUAGCCAGGUGUCGGCGCUGCCACCCAACGGCCUGGUCCGCAAGGUGAAGCGGACACUGCCCAGCCCCCCUCCAGAGGAGGCUCACCUGCCCCUGGCUGGCCAGGCCCCCCCACAGCUGUAUGCAGCCAGCCUGCUGCAGCAUGGGCUGGCGGGGCCCACCGCUGUCCCUGCCACCAAGGCCAGCCUGCUCCGGGACCUGGACCGGGACCUGCGGCUGGUGGAGCAUGAGUCCACCAAGCUGCGCAAGAAGCAAGCGGAGCUGGACGAGGAGGAGAAGGAGAUUGAUGCCAAGCUCAAGUACCUGGAGCUGGGCAUCACACAGAGGAAAGAGUCUCUGGCCAAAGACCGGGGCGGCCGUGACUACCCGCCCUUGCGUGGGCUCGGUGAGCAUCGUGACUACUUGUCGGACAGCGAGCUCAACCAGCUGCGGCUCCAGGGCUGUGCCACUCCUGCCGGCCAGUACGCAGACUUCCCUGUCACUGCCGCCGCUCCUGCCACCCCCUCUGGCCCCACUGCCUUCCAACAGCCCCGGUUCCCGCCUCCGGCCCCGCAGUACACUGCAGGCAGUGGUGGGCCAACCCAGAACGGAUUCCCGGCCCACCAAGCACCCACCUACCCUGGCCCCAGCACAUACUCAGCACCUGCCUUUCCUCCUGGCACCAGUUACCCAGCUGAGCCUGGCCUGCCAGGCCAACAGGCUCUCCGUCCCACAGGCCAUUAUGCAGCCCAAACACCCAUGCCAAACACACAGAGCACUCUUUUCCCGGUCCCAGCCGACAGCCGUGCCCCCCACCAGAAGCCACGCCAGACAUCACUGGCCGACUUGGAACAAAAGGUGCCCACUAACUAUGAGGUGAUCGCCAGCCCUGUCGUGGCCAUGUCUUCAGGCGUGUCUGAAAGCAGCUACAGCGGCCCAGCAGUGAGCAGUAGCUACGAGCAAGGCAAAGCUGCUGAGCUGCCCCGGGCCGGUGACCGUAGUGGCGUGAGCCUGAGCUCAGCCUCCACCUACCCCUCUGACUCCCACUACACCAGCCUGGAGCAGAAUGUCCCCCGGAACUAUGUGAUGAUUGACGACAUCAGUGAGCUGACCAAGGACAGCACCUCCACUGCCCCCGAGAGUCAGCGACUGGAGCCCCUGGGGCCGAGCAGCAGCGGGCGUCCUGGGAAAGAGCCCGGAGAACCAGGCAUCCUGGAGGGGCCUGUACUGCCCUGCUGCUACACCAGAGGGGAGGAAGAAUCCGAGGAGGACUCUUACGACCCCCGUGGGAAGAGUGGCCACCACCGGAGUGUGGAGAGCAAUGGCCGACCAACCAGUGCCCACUACUACAGUGACAGCGACUACAGACACGGGGCUCGAGCAGAGAAGUACGGUCCGGGCCCCAUGGGGCCCAAGCAUCCCUCCAAGAGCCUGGCACCAGCUGCCAUCUCCUCAAAGCGCAGCAAGCACCGGAAGCAGGGCAUGGAGCAAAAGAUCUCCAAGUUCUCACCUAUUGAAGAGGCCAAGGACGUGGAGUCGGAUCUGGCCUCCUACCCCUCCCCUGCCGUUAGCAGCAGCCUAGCCUCUCGGGGCAGGAAGUUCCAGGACGAAAUCACCUACGGGCUCAAGAAGAACGUGUACGAGCAGCAGAGGUACUAUGGGGUGUCCAGCCGGGACCCAGUGGAGGAAGACGACCGCAUGUAUGGAGGGAGCAGCCGGUCCCGGGUGGCAUCUGCAUACAGUGGGGAGAAGCUGUCCAGCCAUGACUUCGGUGGCCGGGGCAAAGGAUAUGAGCGGGAACGGGAAGCUGUGGAGCGACUUCAAAAAGCGGGCCCCAAGCCCUCAUCCCUGAGCAUGGCCCACGGCCGGGCCCGGCCCCCCAUGCGGAGCCAGACCUCUGAAGAGGAGAGCCCCGUCAGCCCCUUGGGGCGGCCCCGCCCUGCCGGCGGCCCCCUUCCUCCUGGGGACACCUGCCCACAGUUCUGCUCCAGCCACUCCAUGCCUGACGUCCAGGAGCACGUCAAGGACGGGCCUCGGGCCCACACAUAUAAGCGUGAGGAGGGCUACAUCCUGGACGACUCCCACUGCGUAGUUUCCGACAGCGAAGCGUAUCACCUGGGCCAGGAGGAGACAGACUGGUUUGAUAAGCCCCGCGAUGCCCGCUCUGACCGGUUCAGGCACCACGGGGGCCAUGCAGUCUCCUCCUCCUCCCAGAAGCGAGGCCCUGCCAGGCCCAGCUACCACGACUACGAUGAGCCCCCCGAGGAGGGCCUGUGGCCCCGUGAUGAGGGUGGCCCGAGCCGCCACGCCUCAGCCAAGGAACACCGGCACCACGGUGACCACGGGCGGCACUCAGGCCGCCACGCUGGCGAGGAGCCGGGCCGGCGUGCUGCCAAAGCACAUGCUCGGGACCUGGGUCGCCACGAGGCCCGGCCUCACCCUCAGCCCAGCCCUGCCCCGGCCAUGCCGAAGAAGGGUCAGCCUGGGUACCCCAGCUCCGCUGAAUACUCACAGCCACCCCGUGCUCCGUCAGCAUACCAUCAUGCCUCUGACAGCAAGAAGGGCUCCCGGCAGGCCCACGCGGGGCCCGCUACACCGCAACCAAAGCCAGAGCCCCAGCCGCAGCCGCAAUGUCGGCAGGCAGCUCCCGGGCCACAGCAGUCACAGCCGCCGCCAUCGAGGCAGACCCCCUCGGCAACAGUGUCGCGCCAGCCACCGACACAGCAGCAGCAGCAAGGUCUCGGGGCACAGCCCCCCCAGCAGGCCCCGGUGCAGGCCCGGCUGCAGCAGCAGGGCCAGCCAGCUGCCCGGGGCCCGGCCCCUGCUGCCAGCCAGCCGGCAGGGAAGCCUCAGCCAGGCCCCACGACAGCCUCGGGCCCCCAGGCCGCAGGACCGCCACGGGCAGAGCAGGCAAAUGGCUCUAAAGGGACAGCCAAGGCACCCCCACAGGGGAGGCCUCCUCAGGCCCAACCACCACCAGGACCUGGACCUGCAGGCAUGAAGGCUGGAGCCAGGCCUGGAGGGACCCCAGGGGCUCCUGCUGGCCAGCCAGGCGCCGAAGGUGAGAGCGUGCUCUCCAAAAUCCUCCCUGGUGGGGCGGCAGAGCAGGCCGGCAAGCUGACGGAAGCUGUCUCUGCUUUUGGCAAAAAGUUCUCCUCAUUCUGGUGACCAUGCCCUGCAGGGCUCUUGAAGAGAUGAAGGGAGAUGAUAUCAUUGCUGUGGAAAAAUCUCUGGAGUCAGAGGCCUGGGCACAGCUCUGGACUCUGCGUAUAACACAUCUGCAAUCUGGCAAACCCUUGGCCCAAAGACUCACACCAGGUGGGACGUGGCAGGCAGGCCUCAGUUGAGGACGUUUUCUAACAGCAGCUGCCUGGGUGAAGCAUCUGCUGGACAUGUUGGGACCACUGGCCCGGGGGACCUGUGAUUGUCUUUCCAGAGACCCUGCUCUCCUCAGGGCACCACCUUCGAGGCCUAGCCUUCGCUGGGAGGGAGGAGCCCUCUCCGGACACCCUGCCACUGCGGCCCGGCCAGCCAGGCUUCCUAUGUGUUAUACACAGAGUUUGGGCACAGGCUGCCUGUUUUUGACGGACGCUGCCCUCCCUCCACGAUGCCAGAAGUUUUUCCACAGCCUUGGAGAGGGGCUUUGACUGAGGGCUGGGGGCCCCGGGCUCCGUUUCCUUCACAUUCCAGCUGACCCGGAUCCCUCUGUGGCCACAGGGCCCUGCUCCCCUCACCCUGCCCUCUGGGUGACAUCGGAGCAGACCUCCAUGUGGCUAGCGUGGGGUUGGGAGAACUUUACAAACAUUAGGACCUAACACUGUCUCAUCGCUGAAAUAAGAGGCCAUAGCACCGAAAAGCAGCGUGGGCACUGGCUGAGGCUUCUCCCAGCCCAUGGGUGGCAGCAUGCUAGCCCGCCUGCCACCAUCUCAAAGCCAUCCCCCCCCCCCCGCCCCCAACCAUCGUGAGCAUCCCAGCAGCACCGCCAUUGUCUCGACCAGCCAGCUCCUUGUUCGUACACCUGGGGAUUUCUUUUGAUUUCAAGAACAGCCUUAAUCAUUUCAGUUUGAUUUACAUGUAUACCUCAUAAGCAUUUUUCUUUUUUUUCUCCUUCUCCCCCUUCUCUCUUUUUCUUUGCUCACCUCCUUGCCUCUCCCCUCCACCACCUCCUGUGACUGAUGGUUUGGUUUCCUCUCCGCUCUGCCCCUGCUCAGCACAGGGAGAAUGUUGACUCAGAAGCAAUAGGGGGCAGCAGGCCACCAAGAGCACAACCCCAGGGCGAGGUCUAAGGGAGGCCCCUCAGCCCACCUCUGUUUACUGUGCAAUCCAGUCCUUCUUAAGCCAUCACCAGUGGGCAUGCUCAGAGCAGAGGGGCCAGGGCUCCUGCCAGCCGAGGUCUGGGCCCAGAGCCCUGUGCUGGGGGGUAUGGCACCGCCCACCCACCUGGCGGACUGGGUGGCAUUCCUCCCCAAGGCCCUUACCCUGGGGGCCUCCCUUCCUCUUGGGCACCCCCACCAGUCUCAUCUCUAACGUUCUAUGCAAUGAAAUAUAAACCCUCAAAGACAACUGUUAAUAUUUAAUAAAUUCCAUGUUAUGUAUAAGGAGUCAAUUGCAAACGUGCAAUUGAGAAACUGGAUAGAUAUGCUCAUAU